UCAAGAAAAAAAGUUCAUAAACGUGUGCAAAAAAGUGAAAAGCCUUUUGCGAAAAAUGUGAGUGCCAGCCGUUGCUAAUUGAAGUUCAAUGGAAAAAUGACCAAAAGUUAAUGAUGACAUUUCGCCGGCAGAAAAAAAUAGCAAAACACAAAACGUAAAGCAGCACAAAUAGGAAUGGAAACGAAAGAGUAUAAGAGCCGAGUAAGCGUGCAAAAAAAAAAAAAAAUAAU